rnacentral:lncRNA from 1 species
CGAUCAGAAGGGGCUCCAUAGGAGCCAAGCCCUAAUUCUUCAAAAGCUUCAAAUCAAGGGAUGAUUCAAGGCUCAAAUUCGCAAAUAAACAUGGAAUAAUAAUCACCAUCACAAGGGGAUCGUAAGAAUAGGAAACACACAAGCGUGGACCAAGCAUGGAAGGCUAAUGGGUCAAGAUGAGGCAGGGAAGCGGUCACGAACACGGAUGCACAAGGUUGUACGAGUCACGGAGGAUCACUGAGGUGUGGAGAUCGAAGACCGAGUCACAAGUUAGAUUGUACGGGAAUGUUUGAAUAACUAAUUUAGUAAACAUAGUUUAUGUUUCUAUUUCGUAAAUGAGUUUCGAUUGAUGUAUUCAUUGUAAAUGUGUCACCUUAAAAUGAAUCCUCAAGUAAGUUAAGACGUUCAUAAUGAAAGAAAUUUUAUG